UUUAGUGCUUACACCGAAAGACGAGUGGCGAACGGGUGCGUAACGCGUAUGCAAUCUACCUUUUACUAGGGUAUAGCCCGGAGAAAUUUGGAUUAAUCCCCUAUAAUAUCAUGAAUUCGCAUGAUUUUAUGAUUAAAGCUUCGGCGGUAAAAGAUGAGCAUGCGUCCUAUUAGUUAGUAGGUGAGGUAACGGCUCACCUAGACUACGAUAGGUAGGGGUCCUGAGAGGGAGAUCCCCCACACUGGUACUGAGACACGGACCAGACUCCUACGGGAGGCAGCAGUGAGGAAUAUUGGACAAUGGACGAAAGUCUGAUCCAGCUAUGCCGCGUGCAGGAUGACGGCCCUAUGGGUUGUAAACUGCUUUUAUACAGGAAGAAAAAAUCCGACGUGUCGGAUCUUGACGGUACUGUAAGAAUAAGGAUCGGCUAACUCCGUG
rnacentral:rRNA from 1 species